rnacentral:rRNA from 1 species
GAGCGCCCCGCAAGGGGAGCGGCAGACGGGAGAGUAACACGUGGGAACGUACCCUUCGGUUCGGAACAACCCCAGGGAAACUUGGGCUAAUACCGGAUACGUCCGAAAGGAGAAAGAUUCAUCGCCGAAGGAUCGGCCCGCGUCUGAUUAGCUUGUUGGUGAGGUAACGGCUCACCAAGGCGACGAUCAGUAGCUGGUCUGAGAGGAUGAUCAGCCUCACUGGGACUGAGACACGGCCCAGACUCCUACGGGAGGCAGCAGUGGGGAAUAUUGGACAAUGGGCGCAAGCCUGAUCCAGCCAUGCCGCGUGGGUGAUGAAGGCCCUAGGGUUGUAAAGCCCUUUCGGCGGGGAAGAUAAUGACGGUACCCGCAGAAGAAGCCCCGGCUAACUUCGUG